UACGUAGGGGCCGAGCGUUGUCCGGAGUUAUUGGGCGUAAAGCGCGCGCAGGCGGCUUCGCGCGCCCGACGUGAAAGCCCCCGGCUUAACCGGGGAGAGUCGUUGGGGACGGCGGGGCUUGAGGGCGGGAGAGGUCGGUGGAAUUCCCGGUGUAGUGGUGAAAUUCGUAGAUAUUCGCAAGAACACCAGUGGCGAAGGCGGCUCACUGGCCCGAGUACUGACGCUGAGGUGCGAAAGCGUGGGGAGCAAACAGG
rnacentral:rRNA from 1 species